rfam:Camelus ferus unplaced genomic scaffold scaffold106914, whole genome shotgun sequence.
GAGGGCGCAGCUCAGUGGUACAGCGCGUGCCUAGCAUGCAUGAGGUCCUGGGUUCAAUCCCCAGUGCCUCCA